rnacentral:rRNA from 1 species
UUCGCAAUGCCCGAAAGGGUGACGAAGCGACGCCGCGUGCGGGAAGAAGGCCUUCGGGUUGUAAACCGCUGUCGGGAGUUAAGAAAUGUAAGGAUGUUAAUAGCAUCUUUGCUUGACUAAGGCUCCGGAGGAAGCCACGGCUAACUCUGUGCCAGUAGCCGCGGUAAUACAGAGGCGGCAAGCGUUGUUCGGAAUUAUUGGGCGUAAAGAGCACGUAGGCGGCUAUGUAAGUCGGUUGUGAAAGCCUCCCGCUCAACGGGAGAACAGCAUCCGAUACUGCAUGGCUUGAGUGCGGGAGGGGAGAGUGGAACUUCUGGUGGAGCGGUGAAAUGCGUAGAUAUCAGAAGGAACGCCGGCGGCGAAAGCGGCUCUCUGGCCCAUAACUGACGCUGAGUGUGCGAAAGCUAGGGGAGCAAACGGGAUUAGAUACCCCGGUAGUCCUAGCCGUAAACGAUGGGCACUAAGUAGAGGGGUUUU